CAUGUCUUUUUGAUGUAAAUAUAAAGUCUAAUCUGCUCAAUGAUGAAUUAAAUUGCCGCAGUAUUUUAACUGUGCAAAGGUAGCAUAAUAAUUAGCUCUUUAAUUGGAAGCUGGAAUGAAUGAUUGGACGAAAAUAUGACUGUCUCUUUCUAAAUUAUUAUUGAAUUUUAUUUUUAAGUUAAAAAGCUUAAAUUUAUAUAAAAGACGAGAAGACCCUAUAGAGUUUAAUAUUGAUUUAUUAUUAAUUUUUGGAAUUUUUUUUUGAUUUUUCAAUAUUUAGUUGGGGUGACUUAUAAAUUAAUUAAAUUUUAUAAAAAUUUAAAUUGAUGAUAAUUAAUUUUAUAAUCUAAAAUUUUUAAAUUUAAAAUAAAUUACCUUAGGGAUAACAGCGUAAUUUUUCUUAAAAGUUCAUAUUGAAAGAAAAGUUUGCGACCUCGAUGUUGGAUUAAAAUAAAUUUUUGGUGCAGUAACUUAAAAAUUUGGUCUGUUCGACCUUUAAUAUU
rnacentral:rRNA from 1 species